UCUUAUCAAUCAGUAUACAUAUUUUUCCUUUAUCACAAAUUUUUGUAGCUUUUCCCUAUUUUACCUAUUUAUGUGCAAUACUAAAAAACGAAAAGUCACUUUAAUUGCGUCUCUUCCUCUUAUUUGUUCCAAUACGGCAAUACAUCGUUUCACUCCUCUUGCUCUUCUAUUGAAACGCUUUCAGCGGCUUCUUUCUCUUCUUUACUUACUUCAAUAGUAUGAAGAUCGAAAAUACUGGUUGUUCAAACGUCACCCGCAUUAUGCAAUCACCACCAAGGGAUAUGGUAGGCCUCCACGGCUCCACUCUUUAAAAGAGUCCCGGUUUCAAGCUCGGAGAUGAAAACUCAUGGUAGGGAAAAGUGCUCACUUGAGGAGGCAAACAGAGAUAGAAUGAUUUUUGAAGAUGAAUUAUUGGCACCUUGAAUUAUACUUUCGGAACUGUGCUCUGAAAAUUGAUUUAAAGUAACCCAAUGAAUUUAUACGGCGUAAAUUCAAAAUAAUUGAGUCGUUGAAUUGC